rnacentral:rRNA from 1 species
UGGGGAAUUUUGGACAAUGGGCGAAAGCCUGAUCCAGCAAUGCCGCGUGUGUGAAGAAGGCCUUCGGGUUGUAAAGCACUUUUGUCCGGAAAGAAAUCCUUGGCUCUAAUACAGUCGGGGGAUGACGGUACCGGAAGAAUAAGCACCGGCUAACUACGUGCCAGCAGCCGCGGUAAUACGUAGGGUGCAAGCGUUAAUCGGAAUUACUGGGCGUAAAGCGUGCGCAGGCGGUUUGCUAAGACCGAUGUGAAAUCCCCGGGCUCAACCUGGGAACUGCAUUGGUGACUGGCAGGCUAGAGUAUGGCAGAGGGGGGUAGAAUUCCACGUGUAGCAGUGAAAUGCGUAGAGAUGUGGAGGAAUACCGAUGGCGAAGGCAGCCCCCUGGGCCAAUACUGACGCUCAUGCACGAAAGCGUGGGGAGCAAACAGGAUUAGAUACCCUGGUAGUCCACGCCCUAAAACGAUGUCAACUAGUUGUUGGGGAUUCAUUUCCUUAGUAACGUAGCUAACGCGUGAAGUUGACCGCCUGGGGAGUACGGUCGCAAGAUUAAAACUUAAAUGAAUUGACGGGGUCA